rnacentral:rRNA from 1 species
AUUGAACGCUGGUGGCAUGCUUAACACAUGCAAGUCGGACGGUAACAUAACUAGCUUGCUAGUUGAUGACGAGUGGCGGACGGGUGAGUAACGCGUAGGGACCUGCCAUAAAGUGGGGGACAACAGUUGGAAACGACUGCUAAUACCGCAUAUUGCCUAAGGGUGAAAGGUGGCUUCGGCUGCCGCUUUAUGAUGGACCUGCGUUAGAUUAGCUAGUUGGUAGGGUAAAGGCCUACCAAGGCGACGAUCUAUAGCUGUUCUGAGAGGAAGAUCAGCCACACUGGGACUGAGACACGGCCCAG